rnacentral:rRNA from 1 species
GUGCCAGCAGCCGCGGUAAUACGGGGGGGGCAAGCGUUGUUCGGAAUUACUGGGCGUAAAGGGCUCGUAGGCGGCCAACUAAGUCGGAUGUGAAAUCCCCAGGCUUAACCUGGGAACUGCAUCCGAUACUGGAUGGCUUGAAUCCGGGAGAGGGAUGCAGAAUUCCAGGUGUAGCGGUGAAAUGCGUAGAUAUCUGGAGGAAUACCGGUGGCGAAGGCGGCAUCCUGGACCGGCAUUGACGCUGAUGAGCGAAAGCUAGGGGAGCAAACGGGAUUAGAUACCCCCGUAGUCC